rnacentral:rRNA from 1 species
UACGGAGGGGACUAGCGUUGUUCGGAAUUAUUGGGCGUAAAGAGCUCGUAGGCGGUCUGUCGCGUCUGCUGUGAAAACUCAGGGCUUAACCCUGAGCUUGCAGUGGGUACGGGCAGACUAGAGUGCGGUAGGGGAGACUGGAAUUCCUGGUGAUAGCGGUGAAAUGCGCAGAUAUCGGGAGGAACACCGGUGGCGAAGGCGGUUCUCUGGGCCUUACCUGACGCUGAGGAGCGAAAGCGUGGGGAGCGAACAGG